rnacentral:misc_RNA from 1 species
GAUGAAGAACGUAGCGAAAUGCGAUAAGUAAUGUGAAUUGCAGAAUUCAGUGAAUCAUCGAAUCUUUGAACGCACAUUGCGCCCCCUGGUAUUCCGGGGGGCAUGCCUGUCCGAGCGUCAUUACAACCCUCAAGCUCAGCUUGGUGUUGGGCCCCGCCGCCCCGGCGGGCCCUAAAGUCAGUGGCGGUGCCGUCCGGCUCCGAGCGUAGUAAUUCUUCUCGCUCUGGAGGUCCGGUCGUGUGCUCGCCAGCAACCCCCAAAUUUUUUCAGGUUGACCUCGGAUCAGGUAGGGAUACCCGCUGAACUUAAGCAUAUCAAUAAGCGGAGGA